UAAGCUGAUUUGUACUGUAGCACCAUUGACCACAUCAGCAGAUCAAGAAUCAGCAACAAAAAAGAUCAAAAGAUGGGAUGAAGAAAUGGACAAUGAUUUAGUAAAAGAGAUGCUCAAUUCAAAUAUUUUUAGCUACAAAUAUAAUUCGAAGAGCCGAGGUUUGUGAUUAAUCCAUUCGGAGCGACAACAGACUGAAAUUUAUUACCAUGAAUUCUUUUAUGUCCAUUUUACAUAAUCCUUUGCGACUGUACAGGUCUACAAACGGGUCGAACGGUCCCAUCUAUGAACCCCCCCCCCCAACAGUUGUUGAGCGGUGCACCCUUAGUUUGAAUAACAUUACAAAAUUCUUGAAGCUUAUCUGGAGCAAGUCAUGGCUGUUGGAGAGUUUCCAAAAGAUGGUUACAAUAGUCGUAAAUAAUGAUGUCCACGAUUUUGCACGUUGCCAAAAACAACUCUGUUAUGACCGACCGAAGUUUGGAACCAUGUCUGCAUAUCGACAUGAUAUGCAAAACGAUAAAAAAAACAUACAAAAUGCCUCGAUUCCAUCAAAUACAGAUCCAUUUUUGCAUCGCACUUCAUGCUGAAUUCUU